GCUGAGCCAGUGCAUUGUGAUUGACCGAACACCACAAGCACGCGUCGGAAAUGUAAAGUCCCUUACCAUAAUAGCAGCUUCUACACCCUGAAACGAUGAACGGAGGUCUUGCGGGUUUGGAACGACAUGAGGGCACUUUCUCCAGUUGAGCGAAUUACAAUUAUAUCGCUAACAUGCCAGACUUAAGAGAUACUGAUGCCCUCCAACCCUUCAGAGUUCAAUGACUACACAAGACAGUCUGAUCAUGGCC